CCCUUAGAUGUUCUGGGCGGCCCGCGCACUCCAAUGGCGUGUGCAGCGAGUGCCGAAGUAGAGUUUUCCGAGGUAUUCUUGCAAUGCUCGUUUUGAUGGGGAUAGACCCUUGCAACUGUUGGUUUUGAACGAGGAAUUCCUUGUAAGCAUGGUUUAUCAUCCGACGCUGAAUGCGUCCCUGCCCUUUGUACACACCGCCCGUCGCUCCUACCGAUGAGUCGUCCGGUGAAGUUCGUAGACCUCGUGAUCGCGGAUCACUGGGGGAAGCAAAAUGAACCUCGCGGUUUAGAGGAAGGAGAAGUCGUAACA
rnacentral:rRNA from 1 species